rnacentral:rRNA from 1 species
AGAGACCGGCGCACGGGUGCGUAACGCGUAUGCAAUCUACCUUUCACAAGGGGAUAGCCCAGAGAAAUUUGGAUUAAUACCUUAUAGUAAUACGACUUGGCAUCAAGACGUAUUUAAAGAUUUAUCGGUGAAAGAUGAGCAUGCGUCCCAUUAGCUUGUUGGUAAGGUAACGGCUUACCAAGGCUACGAUGGGUAGGGAUCCUGAGAGGGAGAUCCCCCACACUGGUACUGAGACACGGACCAGACUCCUACGGGAGGCAGCAGUGAGGAAUAUUGGACAAUGGGCGCAAGCCUGAUCCAGCCAUGCCGCGUGCAGGAUGAAGCAUCUAUGGUGUGUAAACUGCUUUUAUACGGGAAGAAACCCCGCCUCGUGAGGCGGAUUGACGGUACCGUAAGAAUAAGGACCGGCUAACUCCGUGCCAGCAGCCGCGGUAAUACGGAGGGUCCAAGCGUUAUCCGGAAUCAUUGGGUUUAAAGGGUCCGUAGGCGGCCCGAUAAGUCAGUGGUGAAAUCUCCCGGCUCAACCGGGAA